CGUGCGUGUGCGUGCGUCUCUGUGUGUGUGUGUGUGUGUGUGUGUGUUCGCGCGCGCGCGCCACGCUACAGGCAUACUCUC
rnacentral:miRNA from 1 species